GAUACAUGACGAUGGUAUUGCCCCCCUCCCCCCCAUAAAUAUAUUCUAGUUCCGCGCUUGCCAAGUUGAAUACAUAAAAUAUACGUUAUUUAUGUAAGAUAUAAUGUCAGUGGAGUAUUUCUCAACAAACAAAGAAGCAGUGCCCGUAUCCAGGGGGGAGGGGCUUUUGGGCUUAAGCCUCUUCCUCCCAAAUCUGUCUGUGUCGACGGUCCAUCAGUAUUCAGUAUUCACUAUACCUAUACUACAGCAAUGGAGAUGUAGUCUGAUGUACCUUUAUAGUGCCUUACCUAGUCGAUUGUUGGUCGUGUAGCGCGGCCACUUGAAUAUUCUGUAUUGUACCUAAUACUGCGUUUAAACUAAAGAUCCAAAAAUAUGAUCAGAGAGGAUUUCGGAAUCGACUGACGUUCGCAAUUAUUGGGGCAACGCUCAAAGCUCAUCGCUCACUCUUCGGCACCGUACACAACUCACAAUAUACUUUCGGUAGCAAUCUACAAUUUUGUACAAUAAAAUCAUAGAAGUAAUAAUAAGCGAAAAAAUAUUAUCUACAACCUGGUAAAAUGGACUACAGAUGUUCUUUAAGUUUGUAACCAUCAUUGUUGUACUGCCAGUUGACAGAUGCUUCAUUACCAUCAACGUCCAACUGGCAGAAGAACACAAGUUAUUUGUAUAGUGAGUCAUAAGUUGAACUAUGGCAACUAUGCACAUGGUUAACCAGUAUGAUUGUGUUGGUGUCAGAUUCUAACAUCACCGUUAGCAGCUCACUCUUCUUUGGCUACAGUCGGCAUUUUCACUGGGGACGAAGAGAGGUGCUAGAACUUUGUCUAACGCAUAAACAGCAUUUAUAUAAAGUAUAAACAUUCAUUUUGUGAUCUGUAUUCUAAAUCGUGUGCCUACGAUAUCGCUACAACUGAUGGAAGUUAUUGAUCGACACUUUCGUCUUGGCGGUAACUGUAUACUUGUUGUCCUUUGCCAAAUCCACUUCCAAUCUACAGUACUUGGUCUCCUUUACAAUAUUUGGCAAAGGAACUCGGUCUGUUGGAACCAAAAAAUGGUGACAGUUAAUCAUUUUUAUCAUAGUUGAAACAGAACUAUAUAGUGUGUAAUCACUCGAACACCAAGUAUUAACAGCACAGCUUCUAGGUUUUUUUGAGUAUAUGUAAUAUUAAUACCAGUGUGAAAUCUACUGUGCUCAAAACGUUAUUACCCAGACUUAAAAAAUUUAGAAGCUGUGUUAAUACUACUAGGUGUUUGAGACUACACUCAUAUGUCCAGGUUCAUCCAAUGUAAAAACUAUUUACCAACACCUUUUUCUAUUCUGCUUUUACAAAGUAUUUCUACCAACUAACGUUGUAAGGUGGCCCAAAUACUGUACGUUGUUUGCAAACUUGGUCAUGGGUAACGAGUUGACAGCUAUCAUCAAGAUUAUAGUUUCAGUCGUCCAUUACCAUCAUUAAUAACGUUAGUCAUUCAAUCCGGGUUCAUGUUGUAAGAGGGAUAUUUAUAUGUAUGUCGUUUAUAAGAAAGAUGAAAUGCUGACACAUUUCUGUUUCCAAAGAGCAUCAAUUGAGGCACCGGCAAAAUUACUGAAAAGGCGACCUGCCGGUAGGCAGAGAAAACUUUUCCAAGAAUCUCUCUCUCAAUCACUUAACCAAGGUGCUGACUGCUUCCACAUACAUCUGCACCAUAUAUUUAUUUUUGUAACAUAUUGUUAUUUGUUACCAGUAUCUAUGUAAAUUAUAUGUGAAACAUGCUAUUCAUUUCAAAUAUUUGAUAAAUUUAAUAAUUUAUUAUUAAUAAAAUUACAUUAGUUUUUUUA